CUUCAACUUCCGAAACCUACACCCCAAACAGCAAUUCUCCAGAUUCUGAGACUUCUACAGCAUUUUAUACUGAGAGUACAUAUGAGACUUCCACAUCACCUACAGACGCAGAAACUACAGCGUCCUACACCACAACCACCCCUUGUCUGAUAUCAACAACUGAGACUUCUACAUCAUUAGAGUCAACUACAGGCACAGAAAUUGCAACAUCCAACCCCCCAACCACCCCUUGUCUGAUAUCAACAACUGAGACUUUUACAUCAUUAGAGUCAA